UACAGAGGUCUCAAGCGUUGUUCGGAUUCAUUGGGCGUAAAGGGUGCGUAGGUGGCGGGGCAAGUUGGAUGUGAAAUCCCGGAGCUUAACUCCGGAACUGCAUUCAAUACUGCCUUGCUGGAGUACUGGAGAGGAGAUUGGAAUUUACGGUGUAGCAGUGAAAUGCGUAGAUAUCGUAAGGAAGACCAGUGGCGAAGGCGGAUCUCUGGACAGUUACUGACACUGAGGCACGAAGGCCAGGGGAGCAAACGGG
rnacentral:rRNA from 1 species